rnacentral:rRNA from 1 species
UUCAGGGGUAAACCUGAGAAACCCGAAAGGUCGAAAGGGGAGAUUCAGCGUGUUUCGAUUGUAGCGUUAGAUAGUUGUGCGACGGAUAGUGUACGCAUUGCCCGCACCUUCUACGUUUUUCGAACUAUUUUCGAACGCGUGCACUUCUCCCCCAGUAGGACGUCGCGAUCCGUUGAGUGUCGAUCUAAGGCCCAUGGUGGUGUCCGUUGAUAAUCUUUUUGAUUUUUAGCGAACCCAUGGUGUUUCCCGGUCGACUUGCUCGACGGUAUAUGAAAGGCGCGAGGCCGCUACAUAGUUAGCGUUCGACGCGUGGCAAGCACGUUUGUUUGUCUUGAACGAUUAAUAGUAUUUUCGGACCUGGUGCCGAUGCUAUUCGCAAACGGCUGUUCGCCUACGCAGUUCUCGAACAGACCUCGUUGAAACGCCGAUCAGCGACGCUAUAGCUUUGGGUAAUUUCAGGACCCGUCUUGAAACACGGACCAAGGAGUCUAGCAUGUGCGCAAGUCAUUGGGACAUAACUAAACCUAAAGGCGUAAUGAAAGUAAAGGUUCGCCUUGUGCGGACCAAGGGAAGAUGGGUGUAUUGUUACGGCAAUUGCCUCGCAUUCCCGGGGCGUCUCAUUCUUAUUGCAAGAAGAGGCGCACCAAGAGCGUACACGCUGGGA